AAGGUUUUAAGUUCAUAAAACUGUUAGCCUUCAAAGCUGGAAUAAAAAGUAGACCCUUUUAAACCUUA
rnacentral:tRNA from 1 species